GUUCGGAAUUACUGGGCGUAAAGGGCGCGUAGGCGGCCUUCUAAGUCGAACGUGAAAUCCCCGGGCUCAACCCGGGAACUGCGUCCGAUACUGGAAGGCUUGAAUCCGGGAGAGGGAUGUGGAAUUCCAGGUGUAGCGGUGAAAUGCGUAGAUAUCUGGAGGAACACCGGUGGCGAAGGCGACAUCCUGGACCGGUAUUGACGCUGAGGCGCGAAAGCCAGGGGAGCAAACGGG
rnacentral:rRNA from 1 species